rnacentral:misc_RNA from 1 species
GCCAAGUUGCGUUAAGGGAGAGAUGGUGAGGAGACGAUGCUCAUAAAACCAUUCAGGGCCUGAGGCAGUCAAACAAACAUUUACUGAUUUCCCCACCCAAUGGACCAUUUGGAAAUUGCCACGUUUGCAUACCAAAUUGACCGUUAACGCAUCACUUUCUGGCAACUAGAAUAACCAUUUCUUCGUCCUCCCAGCUGAUGACAACACCAUACACACAAAUCUUGGACUCGCAACUAUAAGCUCUAGGGUUUUCUUUUCUUUCUUUGAUAUGCGAAAAUGACGGUUACUACUGAGAUCAGCGCUGGAGAUCACGCGGUCGAGCUGAUCGUGCGAGACGCAUCGGCAUCAUCACCUGAUGGCAGUGCGGACGACGGAGCAGGCGGCGGCUCUGGCUCUGAGGAAAUGGCCCCUCUUUUGAACCAGGCCGAGAAGCCCAAGAUCAAUAUCUUUUCCGUUUCUUACUCUCGUAGAAAACCUAGAGAGCAAGUGGCAAGAUUACCUGAAACAGAGACAUCCCCAAUAACACAGUUUAUUUUCUGGAUAUGGGGUGGAUCCAGAUACUCGGGCAUAUUGUGCAUGGCCUUAUCAUCAACCAUCUACUUCGUAAUGGAAGUUCUAUCUGAUUCUUUCUCUGCUCGGUCAAUCCCUUUGUUUGAGACUGCAUUUACAAGAUGUACAAUAGUAUUGAUAUUAUCAUAUGUAUGGUUGAGGAGAAGUGGACAGCCAUUAUUUGGAGCAGCAAAUGCUAGGAAACUUCUGUUUUGGAGAGCCUUAACGGGAUAUCUAUCAUUAUUGAGUUUUAUUUAUUGGUAAGUUCAACCUGAUGCACGUACUCCUGCAUGUAGAUACAAUUUAGUUUCAUUUUGUCAUCUGCUUCUAUCAUAUUCAGUUAGGUGGGUGAGGGUCAGUAGGGAUGCAGGUAGAGGGGGUGCAAGGGUACAAUUACUGAGGUUCACUGAUCACGUAGACAAUGUUCAUUAUUUCUUAAUCACAAACAUUUUCAGAAUACUCAUUUUUAUACUGUGAAGAUGUGGUGCAUCUUGCCAGGAUCACUUGAUCAUAGAUUCAUCUGCAAUGUUGCAAUCCUAAAUUUGCAAUGCGAGAUGAAUUAACCAUAAUUGUGGAGAUAUAGUGUGACUACCUGCAGGCUGCAUCUCUAGUUGCUAGUGUGUAAUUCUGAAAAUGUUAAGGGCUGGCUCAGCUUUUACCCAUGAUGAAAUGGUUUUACAAUUUUAUAUGAGCUAAUCAAUCAAGGGUUUCAUUAAAAAGUUUUUAGUUGUGCAAUACCACUGAAUGUUGAAAUUAUAAAGGUCAGUUCACAUUUUCAGCUCUGGUGUACUCUUUAUAUGAUACCUGAUGUUUUGGUUGCUUGUGGAACAAUUCUCACUGCUUGCACUGUCUUGUUUCCAAAACUUUUUCUUUGGCUUGAAAAACUUUAAUUCUUUGGAAAUUUGACUAACUAGCAAAAUGCUGUAAUAACUAGUAGUUGGCGCCUUACUUUUCCCUCUUUCAGCAUUCAGAGGUUACCCUUGUCUCAGGCUAUUGUAUUAAAUUUCACAACUCCAAUUGUGGCUUCAAUUGUGGCAAGGAUCAUGUUACAUGAAAAGUUAAAAAUUGCAGAUAUUGGAGGUCUUGCUUGCAGUUUCAUUGGUGUGGUCUUCAUUUAUAGACAGAUACUUAGAACACAAGGUAGAGAAGUGAGUUAACAAAACCUCCUAUCCUGUGAUGAUAAUGUUUGCUUAAAGAAUAUCAGCAAUUGAAAGAAUUUCAAUGUAAUAUUAUUGUUGUUUUUCUUUUUUCUCUAUAAUAACAACAAUAUGGAUCCCCACUUUUGUUGUAUCAUACCCUAUUCAUACAUAGAUUGCUUUAUACAAGUGCUACUAAUAUUCUUUCUGCAUUAAAGAAAGUAUAGUACAAUCAGCUUUCAAGUGAAUUAUAAACUUUCUUCCUUUUUUCUCCUCUCCUCUUCUCUCCUUUUUCUCUCAUGAUGAGAGUUUUAUCUGCUUGCUAUUUUCAGCUAUUUCAAAUUCUCUAUUUUUGGACCCCAUGAAAAGGCUGAUGCUGAAAGGGAAAAAAUCUCUGGGAGCAGAUUUUUUUCAUCAAUCCUGGGUUUUCUAAUAGAUUUUUUUCCCCCUUUGUGGCACCUAGUCAAUCUUGUGAAGCUGUUGGAUUACAUAACUUGCUGGGACUUUGGAUAUGAAAUACAAAUAGAUAUAACGUACAGGAGAAACGGGCAACUCAUGGACUUGAACAAUAUACGUGUUCUUCACUUUUCGUUUGUUUCUGGUCUCUUGGCCUUUGUUUAUAGCUUUAUGUAUAAGAAAAUCCUUCUCACCUUCCACCCUCUCUGCUUUGUGCUCUCUUUCCCCCUCACCAGAUUGCAGUACAUCUUUUUUCUUGUGGAACUGUUCAAUACUGGCAAAUUUAUUUGUUUUCUUUUGACAGGGGGGUGGAUUAGAGGUGGGGAAAAAAGCAAUGCAACUGCUAAGGGAAGUCACCACAUAUAUGCCGUAUUGGUUGGUUUAUUCUCAUCAAUUACUGGUGGAAUCAGUUACUGCCUUAUAAAGGCUGGAGCAAAGGCAUCUGAUCAACCUGUGGCCACUGUUUUUUCAUUUGGCUUACUCUCUAGCCCUGCUGCGGGAAUAUGUACAUUUGCUUUUGAGGAAUUUGUGGUGCCAGAUUUUUAUUCAUUCACUUUUAUGCUUCUACUGGGUGUUCUGGCCUUCUUUGUAGAGGUGCUAGUUUAAACUAUAAUUUAUCUUCUUGGUUCAUAGAGGUGCUACUUUUGUGUGCAGUAAUUUCUACAUGCCAUCAAAAUUUUAUUUUGUCACUGAUAAUUUUGUGACUUUUCUUUAUCACUUUAUGGGUUUCUAAGCAUGUUUGCUACUUUCCAGGUGUUUUUAGCUCGUGGAUUUCAGCUUGAAAGGACCAGCAGGGCUGCAAAUGUCCAGUACAUUGAGGUUGCCCUGUCACAGUUGUGGGGAAUGAGUUCUUCGAGGGCAUCUUCACCAUUUGGAGGUCUAGUUGGAUGUUUACUCAUCUUGAUUUCAGUAUGCUGUACCAUAUAUUUUGGACCUUACAAAGAGAUGGAAUGACACCAAAGAUGACGUAAUCAACUUGUUUAAUUUCCCAAGCCUUUUUAAAAUUGUAUGUAGUGGCUUCCGAUUAACUUUUCGCUCCUACUCGAGUAUCAGUUUCCAUUUUCGGGGUGAGGUUCUACCCAAUUGGCCUGAUGACCUUGUUGCACAUGACAUCAAUUGGCUGCUGCAAUGAUUAUGUAAAUCAUAAUUUGGUUUUGAGUUUUAAUUCUAGUCAUGAUGUGAAGUUAGUAAUAAACGGUUUGAAAAAACUAGAGCAAAAGCAGGUUAACAAGCGGAACAUAUAAAUCUUAGUAUGCAUAGAUCUCGCUUGGGAUCGAUUCGAAUGGUGAAUUAAAUCAGAAUCGGAUUGGCUUAAAUUUAAUUGGAAUUAGACCGAACCUUGUUAGAACUAUGAUUGAUUUGAGCCAUGAUUGAAUCAGAUUCAGAUCAUCAUUCAGAUCGGUUUCAGGCAAACAUCAAUUUUAUUUCAUUUAAAAGAUUAAACCGUUGACUUUAAUCAAAU